rnacentral:rRNA from 1 species
GACGAACGCUGGCGGCGUGCUUAACACAUGCAGGUCGAACGGAAAGGCCCUGCUUUUGUGGGGUGCUCGAGUGGCGAACGGGUGAGUAACACGUGAGUAACCUGCCCUUGACUUUGGGAUAACUUCAGGAAACUGGGGCUAAUACCGGAUAGGAGCUCCUGCUGCAUGGUGGGGGUUGGAAAGUUUCGGCGGUUGGGGAUGGACUCGCGGCUUAUCAGCUUGUUGGCGGGGUAGUGGCUUACCAAGGCUUUGACGGGUAGCCGGCCUGAGAGGGUGACCGGCCACAUUGGGACUGAGAUACGGCCCAGACUCCUACGGGAGGCAGCAGUGGGGAAUAUUGCACAAUGGGCGGAAGCCUGAUGCAGCAACGCCGCGUGCGGGAUGACGGCCUUCGGGUUGUAAACCGCUUUCGCCUGUGACGAAGCGUGAGUGACGGUAAUGGGUAAAGAAGCACCGGCUAACUACGUG